rnacentral:rRNA from 1 species
AGAGUUUUGAUCCUGGCUCAGAUUGAACGCUGGCGGCAUGCUUUACACAUGCAAGUCGAGCGGCAGCGCGGGGGCAACCCUGGCGGCGAGCGGCGAACGGGUGAGUAAUACAUCGGAACGUAUCCCGUAGAGGGGGAUAGCCCGGCGAAAGCCGGAUUAAUACCGCAUAUGCUCUACGGAGGAAAGCAGGGGACUCGCAAGGGCCUUGCGCUAUGGGAGCGGCCGAUGUCCGAUUAGUUUGUUGGCGGGGUAAUGGCCCACCAAGGCGACGAUCGGUAGCUGGUCUGAGAGGAUGAUCAGCCACACUGGGACUGAGACACGGCCCAGACUCCUACGGGAGGCAGCAGUGGGGAAUUUUGGACAAUGGGGGAAACCCUGAUCCAGCCAUGCCGCGUGAGUGAAGAAGGCCUUCGGGUUGUAAAGCUCUUUUGGUCGGAAAGAAGAAGUUUGGGUGAAUAACCUGGAUUUUUGACGGUACCGGCAGAAUAAGCACCGGCUAACUACGUGCCAGCAGCCGCGGUAAUACGUAGGGUGCGAGCGUUAAUCGGAAUUACUGGGCGUAAAGAGUGCGUAGGCGGUUCUCCAAGUCCGUUGUGAAAUCCCCGGGCUCAACCUGGGAAUGGCAGUGGAAACUAGGGGACUUGAAUCUGGCAGAGGGGGGUGGAAUUCCACGGUGUAGCAGUGAAAUGCGUAGAGAAUGUGGAGGAACACCGAUGGCCGAAAGGCAGCCCCUGGGCUGAGAUUGACGGCUCAGCACGAAAAG